rnacentral:rRNA from 1 species
GACGUAGGGUCCAAGCGUUGUCCGGAUUUACUGGGCGUAAAGAGCGCGUAGGCGGUCUGUUAAGUGUGGAGUGAAAUCUCAGGGCUCAACCCUGAAACUGCUUCGCAUACUGGCAGACUUGAGGGAUGGAGAGGUUUGUGGAAUUCCUGGUGUAGCGGUGAAAUGCAUUGAUAUCAGGAGGAACACCCAUGGCGAAGGCAGCAAACUGGCCAUCAUCUGACGCUGAGGCGCGAAAGCGUGGGUAGCAAACAGG